CCGCCUAAGGUGGGACAGAUGAUUGGGGUGAAGUCGUAACAAGGUAGCCGUAUCGGAAGGUGCGGCUGGAUCACCUCCUUU
rnacentral:rRNA from 1 species